CCUACGGGUGGCAGCAGUAGGGAAUCUUUCACAAUGGGCGAAAGCCUGAUGGAGCAACGCCGCGUGCAGGAUGAAGGCCUUCGGGUUGUAAACUGCUUUUAUAAUCGAGAAAUAUGAUGGUACCUUAUGAAUAAGGAUCGGCUAACUACGUGACAGCAGCCGCGGUCAUACGUAGGAUCCGAGCAUUAUCCGGAGUGACUGGGUGUAAAGAGUUGCGUAGGUGGCAUAAUAAGUAGCUAGUGAAAUCUGGUGGCUCAACCAUUCAGACUAUUAGCUAAACUGUUAAGCUCGAGACCGUUAGGGGUAACUGGAAUUUCUAGUGUAGGAGUGAAAUCCGUAGAUAUUAGAAGGAACACCAAUAGCGUAGGCAGGUUGCUGGGACGGUUCUGACACUAAGGCACGAAAGCGUAGGGAGCAAACGGGAUUAGAUACCCGUGUAGUC
rnacentral:rRNA from 1 species